rnacentral:lncRNA from 1 species
GGUGCCGUGGCACACAUCUGUAAUCCUAUCACUCAGGAGGCAGAUGCAGGAGGAUCACAAGUUUGAGACCAGACUUCGUCUGCAUAGCAAGUCGAAUGCCUGCCUGCCUGGACCACAUAUUUCCAGAGCCAGGAUUUAAGAGAUUAGCAGUUUCCAGUGCUGGCACCUGAGAUGCUCACUCUUGGAACUCUCCAUCAUGCUCUCCGGAAGCCCAAACGGCCCUUGAAGAGGACCACAUGGAGAGGCCUGUGUCCUCCAUCCCAGCUGAAUGCUCGGCUUCAGUCAUCCCCAGAGUACAGCACUGUCUGCAGCCCCUGCGAAGGAGAAGCUGUCUGGUGCCAUUAGCGUCCCUGAAGAGCAGUGUUUUGCAUGUCUGCUCUACAUCACCGCCGUUCCUCCAAGACCCGACCCAGUGACUGAGGAUGCUGGCCUCACCGUGCCUUCCACCAUGGCCAUGCUGUGUGUGGACAAUCUGGGCUCCUCUUUCUCGGUCUCCCCCGGGGUCACUCGUGUGACUGUGGUACCCAGCUCUGGAGGGUCCGAGGUGGUGUCCUCACGUGUUCCACAGUCAGUGCUGGCUCUCUCUCUCUUCUGUGUCUUUCUUACAAAAGAAAAAGGAAUCAUAUGGUUUAUGGAAGAAAAUUUAGAAAUGCUGUCAAAACAAGGGAAAGAAAAUAGCACUCACCUAUAAUGCCAGCACCUCAGAAUAACCAUUGUUGGUAUUUAGACAUAUAUAUCUAUCCAGCCUUACUCUAAAAUAUUGGUAACAAUGUGUAGUCUACAAAAAUGCAUAUUAUUGAUUACUUCUUUUUUUUUUUUUUUUUUUUUUUGCAGAACCAGGGAUCAAACUCAGGACCUUGUGCUUGCCAGGCAGGCAUGGCACCACUGAGCUACAUCCCUGGCCCUACUUUUUUGUUUUGUGACACAGGGUCUUGCUAUGUAGUUCAGGCUAGCCUUGAACUUGCAGUACUAUGUAGUCUAGGGUGGCCUCGAACUCAUGGUGAUCCCUGCCUCAGCCUCCCAAGAGCUGGGAUUACAGGUGUGUGCCACUAUGCCAGGCAUUGAUUAUUUUCUUGAUAGGCACUGUGCUGUAUCCUCUGCAUAGAUUAUUUCAUUUAAUACUCACUGCACUCCUACAGAACAGAUACUAUUACUAUUACUAUUACUAUUACUAUUACUGUCUUUAGGGAAGGAAAAAUUGAUGCUUAGCGACCUUAUACAUACAUAUAUACUGUCUUGUAACUCCUUUUUUCAUAUAACAUCAUGCAUAAUUCCUCACUUGAUUGCUUUUGAACAGGCUGGAUCAAAAUAAAAAAGUAACAAAGACUUUACAUAAAAAUAAUGUGGGUUUUUUUACAAGGGAGUAAUACUCAGCCACAAAGAAACACAAACUUGAGACAUUUCUAGGUUAAUGGAUGCACCUUGAGACCAUAGUCUUAAGUGAAAUAAAUCAGACACACAUGUAAAUAUCACAUUGUCUCUCUGGUGUGAGAAGCUGAAAGGGUAAAUAAGGACCAAAAUGUAUAGUAGAUAAUGGGAAAUUGUUCAAAAGGAAAGGGAAACUGAAAGUUGGAAGGGGGAAAAGGAAGGGAAAAGAAAAAAAAUGGAAACAAAGCUUUUGUAAAUGAGGAGGGGAGGGGAUUGGGAGAAAAAGAGGAAUCAAGGUAUACCAUAAACAGGUACAAAUUCCCCUUAAUGAAUGUGAUCGUUAUGUAUAUUCAAAUUGUGCCAAUAAAAUCAAUUUUAAAAAACAAUGACUUUACAAUAUUUGGAUCUCUGAUUUCUGGCCAAAUUUGCUUCUUGAGCCUGUCAGGUGAUUGCAGAUUAGAACAAAAUAAUGAUGCAUGCCCUUCACUGCAAAGUACUAGCUUUGACAUUUCAAUCUUUUGUAAGAGCUUCAAGGCUUGAUUUUGGCAUAGUUGCUUGGUAGAGAAUAUAGCAUCUGAUUUUGAAUGUUAUGGCAUGUUUCCUAAAAGCCCAGCAGCGUGAAUGUGAAGUUGGAGCCUGUCCGCCCCCAGGGAGCCAGCGUGGAAACAACAGACACCAGGGACCACAGUGAAACCGAGUUUUUGUAGAUGUGUGGCGUAUCUGCUUCCAUGCAAAAUUCUAAGUCCUACCUCCUUCUCAAUAAAUGAACACAUCCUUCCAGUGACACAGCCUUGCACUUCGAUAUUUAAUCACUAAAUGUUGCAUAUCCUAAGACAAAAAUUGGCAAAGGUAUAUGGUAAGUAGGACAGGAGGGGAAGCUUGAAAUAUUUGGGAAGAGAAAGGCAGCAAGGUCCUUUUUUGACAUGAAAUCAUAGAUUAAUAACA